GAGUUUGAUUCUGGCUCAGGAUGAACGCUAGCUACAGGCUUAACACAUGCAAGUCGAGGGACCGGCGCACGGGUGCGUAACGCGUAUCAAACCUGCCUCAUACUCGGGGAUAGCCUUGCGAAAGUAAGAUUAAUACCCGAUGUUCAAAGUCGGUAUGAGAUGGUGAUGCGUCCGAUUAGGUAGUAGGCGGGGUAACGGCCCACCUAGCCUUCGAUCGGUAGGGGUUCUGAGAGGAAGGUCCCCCACACUGGAACUGAGACACGGUCCAGACUCCUACGGGAGGCAGCAGUGAGGAAUAUUGGUCAAUGGACGAAAGUCUGAACCAGCCAAGUAGCGUGCAGGAUGACGGCCUCUGGGUUGUAAACUGCUUUUAGUUGGGAAUAUGUAUGUACCUUCAGAAAAAGGACCGGCUAAUUCCGUGCCAGCAGCCGCGGUAAUACGGAAGGUCCAGGCGUUAUCCGGAUUUAUUGGGUUUAAAGGGAGCGUAGGCGGAUUAUUAAGUCAGUGGUGAAAGACGGUGGCUCAACCAUCGUUAGCCAUUGAAACUGGUAGUCUUGAGUGCAGACAGGGAUGCUGGAACUCGUGGUGUAGCGGUGAAAUGCUUAGAUAUCACGAUGAACUCCGAUCGCGAAGGCAGGUGUCCGGGCUGACUGACGCUGAGGCUCGAAAGUGUGGGUAUCAAACAGGAUUAGAUACCCUGGUAGUCCACACAGUAAACGAUGUAUACUCGCGGUUUGCGUGUAAGCCGCCAAGCGAAAGCAUUAAGUAUACCACCUGGGGAGUACGCCGGCAACGGUGAAACUCAAAGGAAUUGACGGGGGCCCGCACAAGCGGAGGAACAUGUGGUUUAAUUCGAUGAUACGCGAGGAACCUUACCCGGGCUUGAACUAUGGAGGUGCUGCAUGGUUGUCGUCAGCUCGUGCCGUGAGGUGUCGGCUUAAGUGCCAUAACGAGCGCAACCCUUUUCCUUGGUUGCCAUCAGCUGGGCACUCCAGGGAUACUGCCAUCGUAAGAUGGAGGAAGGUGGGGAUGACGUCAAAUCAGCACGGCCCUUACGUCCGGGGCUACACACGUGUUACAAUGGGGGGCAGAAGGUCGCUACCUGGUGACAGGAUGCUAAUCUCACCUCUCUCAGUUCGGAUGGAGUCUGCAACCCGACUCCAGAAGCUGGAUUCGCUAGUAAUCGCGCAUCAGCCAUGGCGCGGUGAAUACGUUCCCGGGCCUUGUACACACCGCCCGUCAAGCCAUGAAAGCCGGGGGUGCCUGAAAGCCGUGUCGGCCUAGGGUAAAACUGGUGAUUGGGGCUAAGUCGUAACAAGGUAGCCGUACCGGAAGGUGCGGCUG
rnacentral:rRNA from 3 species